AGCAGUCGCCGCGGUAAUACGGAGGGUGCAAGCGUUAAUCGGAAUUACUGGGCGUAAAGCGCACGCAGGCGGUCUGACAAGUCAGAUGUGAAAUCCCCGGGCUUAACCUGGGAACUGCAUUUGAAACUGUCAGGCUGGAGUCUUGUAGAGGGGGGUGGAAUUCCAGGUGUAGCGGUGAAAUGCGUAGAGAUCUGGAGGAAUACCGGUGGCGAAGGCGGCCCCCUGGACAAAGACUGACGCUCAGGUGCGAAAGCGUGGGGAGCAAACAGGAUUAGAUACCCCUGUAGUCCCUGUCUCUUUACA
rnacentral:rRNA from 1 species